rnacentral:rRNA from 1 species
AGUGUCAAAAGGGCGUUUAGUGGAUGCCUUGGCAUGUAGAGGCGAUGAAGGACGUGGCACGCUGCGAUAAGUCUCGGGGAGUUGCGAGCAGACUUUGAUCCGAGAAUUUCCGAAUGGGGAAACCCACCGUUUCGGCGGUAUCGCACACUGAAUACAUAGGUGUGCGAGGCAAACCCGGGGAACUGAAACAUCUAAGUACCCGGAGGAAAGGACAUCAAUAGAUACUCCCCUAGUAGCGGCGAGCGAACGGGGACCAGCCGAGUCCUGAGAGUGAGAAGAACAUGCUGGAAAGCAUGGCCAUAGCGGGUGACAGCCCCGUAUUCCAAGCUCGAUGGAACGUAUUAAGUAGGGCGGAACACGUGAAAUCCUGUCUGAACAUCGGAGGACCACCUUCGAAGGCUAAGUACUCCU